rnacentral:tRNA from 1 species
GCCGGGAUAGCUCAGCCGGUAGAGCAACUGAUUCGUAAUCAGUAGGUCGGGAGUUCGAUUCUCCCUUCCGGCACCA